CCUACGGGAGGCAGCAGUGGGGAAUAUUGCACAAUGGGCGAAAGCCUGAUGCAGCGACGCCGCGUGAAGGAUGAAGUAUUUCGGUAUGUAAACUUCUAUCAGCAGGGAAGAAAAUGACGGUACCUGACUAAGAAGCCCCGGCUAACUACGUGCCAGCAGCCGCGGUAAUACGUAGGGGGCAAGCGUUAUCCGGAUUUACUGGGUGUAACGGGAGCGGAGACGGCGAUGCAAGCCAGAUGUGCAAGCCGGGGGCUCAACCCCUGGACUGCAUGUGGAACUGUG
rnacentral:rRNA from 1 species